UACGUAGGGUGCAAGCGUUGUCCGGAAUUAUUGGGCGUAAAGAGCUCGUAGGCGGUUUGUCGCGUCUGCUGUGAAACCCGAGGCUCAACCUCGGGCCUGCAGUGGGUACGGGCAGACUAGAGUGCGGUAGGGGUGACUGGAAUUCCUGGUGUAGCGGUGGAAUGCGCAGAUAUCAGGAGGAACACCGAGUGGCGAAGGCAGGUCACUGGGCCGCAACUGACGCUGGAGGAGCGAAAGCAUGGGGAGCGAACAGG
rnacentral:rRNA from 1 species